rnacentral:lncRNA from 1 species
UUAUCACCAAGUCGGAGAGAUGGAUCAAACCCAAGCGGUAUAGGACGUCUACGUUCUUCACUCGUCCUCCACUUACGUAAAGCCUAAGCGCUUGAACGGGUUAUCACCAAGUCGGAGAGAUGGAUCAAACCCAAGCGGUAUAGGACGUCUACGUUCUUCACUCGUCCUCCAUUUACGUAAAGCCUAAGCGCUUGAGCGGGUUAUCACCAAGUAGGAGAGAUGGAUCAAACCCAAGCGGUAUAGGACGUCUACGUUCUUCACUCGUCCUCCACUUACGUAAAGCCUAAGCGCUUGAACGGGUUAUCACCAAGUCGGAGAGAUGGAUCAAACCCAAGCGGUAUAGGACGUCUACGUUCUUCACUCAUCCUCCACUUACGUAAAGCCUAAGCGCUUGAGCGGGUUAUCACCAAGUCGGAGAGAUGGAUCAAACCCAAGCGGUAUAGGACGUCUACGUUCUUCACUUGUCCUCCACUGACGUAAAGC